UGGCUGAGUGGUAAAGCGCUUGGCUUUGAAACCAGGGGUUCUGGGUUUGAAUCUCGG
rfam:Biomphalaria glabrata isolate BB02 linkage group LG50i unlocalized genomic scaffold LG50i_random_Scaffold1824, whole genome shotgun sequence.